rnacentral:pre_miRNA from 1 species
UUAAUACUCCCUCCGUCCCAUAUUAAGUGACUUUCUAUUACAUGUAUCUAGACGCUUUUUAGAAGUAGAUACAUCCAUAUUUUGACAAUUUUGAGUCAGUUAAUAUGAGAUGGAGGGAGUAUCAU